rnacentral:tRNA from 1 species
UCGUUAGCUUAGUCGGCAAAGCAUGUGUCUGAUAAGCGCCAGAUUGUCGGCUUGAUUCCGGCUCUCAGUGAG